AACAAGCGCUGGCGGCGUGCCUAACACAUGCAAGUCGUACGAGAAAGGGUCCUUCGGGGCCUGAGUAAAGUGGCGCACGGGUGAGUAACGCGUGGAUAAUCUGCCCUUCAGUUGGGAAUAACUCAUCGAAAGGUGGGCUAAUACCGAAUAAUGCUGUGAGACCUCGGUUGAUCAGCCAAAGAGAGCCUCUGCUUGCAAGCCCUCGCUGCAGGAUGAGUCCGCGUACCAUUAGCUAGUUGGUAGGGUAAUGGCCUACCAAGGCGACGAUGGUUGGCUGGGCUGAGAGGAUGAUCAGCCACACUGGAACUGAGACACUGUCCAGACUCCUACGGGAGGCAGCAGUGAGGAAUCUUGCGCAAUGGGGGCAACCCUGACGCAGCAACGCCGCGUGAGUGAGGAAGGUCUUCGGAUCGUAAAGCUCUGUCGGAUGGAAAGAACCGCAUAGGGGUAAACAGCCCCUGUGUCUGACGGUACCAUCAAAGGAAGCACCGGCUAACUCCGUGCCAGCCGCCGCCGCGGUAA
rnacentral:rRNA from 1 species